AAUCAACGCUGGCGGCGUGCCUCAGACAUGCAAGUCGAACGCGAAAGUUUCCUUCGGGGAACAAGUAGAGUGGCGCACGGGUGAGUAACACGUAGGUAAUCUACCUUUGGAUGGGGAAUAACAAUCGGAAACGGUUGCUAAUACCGCAUAAUGCAGCGGCACCUAAUGGUGACAGUUGUUAAAGCGGGGGAUCGAAAGACCUCGCGUCUGAAGGAGGAGCCUGCGGCGGAUUAGCAGUUGGUAAGGUAAUGGCUUACCAAGGCUACGAUCCGUAACCGGCCUGAGAGGGCGGUCGGUCACACUGACACUGACAUACGGGUCAGACUCCGUACGGGAGGCAGCA
rnacentral:rRNA from 1 species